AUCAAGCUGACGAGUCUCCGAUAGGACGAAACAUACGUCUUGGAU
rnacentral:hammerhead_ribozyme from 1 species